rnacentral:lncRNA from 1 species
CCACACUCAACCUUAAUCUAUACAAACUUGCUUGAUAUAUAGCUUAACCAAAACAAACCAACCCCACUCUUUGAAUUUUAGUUACCAACAACUCUUUUAAAGCUUUAUAGUUUAAAACCAAAGAGAGUUAGGAGCAAACAAAGUUUAUACCAUCUUUGUGUUCUAACUUCAAACUAUCAAUGGUAGUAGACAAAUUUGCAAAACUCUUAUUUAAGAAGAAGAAUCACCACAAGUGUUACCCUCAACCUAAUGAAGAGUUGCCAUCUUCAUCAUUACAUGAUUUUCACUCCCAUGUUUCCAAACACAUUGACCAAUUAGCAUUGGAAUUGAAACCCGAGUCCGAAAUCUUAUCGUUAUCAUGGUUUCAAGGAUGUUUUGGUCUUUUGCCUCUCAUCAACAAGGUUUUUGCAAAACUUGUUAUCGACAUUGAUUAUCCAAUGACUAAAUGGAACGUUGAUUCAAUUGAAGUUUAUCUCAACUAUACCAUGAGUUUGUUGGAGCUUCUGAAUUCCAUUUCUUCUUCUCUUUCUCAUCUUGGCCAUUCAAGGCUUUCUUUGGCUCAUGGUUUGACUUUGGUGGAGAAGAAGAAAUCACUUUCUUUGGCUAGAAAUCAUUUGAAAGCAAUUCAACCAGCAGGGUGUUUUAGCACCAACUUUGGUAAAUCUUUUCACACGCAAGAUGAUAAAGCAAAGAUUGUUUCUGGAAAGGAGUUGAUUGUUCGUGAAAUUGUAAAGGAAAUGAAGAGUACCGGAUUUUGGGUAUGUGGAGUUCUCUUGUCUUAUUUUUAUGGUGAUGCUAAGCCAUACAUGGAGCUAAGAAAAAUUGUUGGUGGGUUUGAAAAUUCUAUAGUUUCCACACUUGAUCUUAAAAUCAGUGAAAAGUUAGUGAAGAAAAUGCCAUGCUUUAGUGAGAUCAAAGAAAUGAACAAAUUUGUUGCUCGCCUUGUUGCUGGCGAUGAAGUAAAAGAUGAUGCAACCAAGGAAUUGCAGAGAAAUCUGUGCGGUGUAGGGAAGAUAUUAGAUGAUAUAAGCGCGAAGGUGGAUCAUCUAUUUGAUGAUGUAAUGAAUCAGAGAACUGAACUAGUUGAUGGAUUUCGACUCCGUAAAUAGCAACGAUAAUCCAUUGUUUAAUUUUUUAUGUAAAUAUCAAUAGUUUGUAAUUACUGUUUUGUAAUGUUCCUUUUUUAUGUUUUUUCAUAGGAAAAUGAUAUUUGAUUAUAUUUAGUUUAG